GACGAACGCUGGCGGCGUGCCUAAUACAUGCAAGUUGAGCGCUGAAGGUUGGUACUUGUACCGACUGGAUGAGCAGCGAACGGGUGAGUAACGCGUGGGGAAUCUGCCUUUGAGCGGGGGACAACAUUUGGAAACGAAUGCUAAUACCGCAUAAAAACUUUAAACGCAAGUUUUAAGUUUGAAAGAUGCAAUUGAAUCACUCAAAGAUGAUCCCGCGUUGUAUUAGCUAGUUGGUGAGGUAAAGGCUCACCAAGGCGAUGAUACAUAGCCGACCUGAGAGGGUGAUCGGCCACAUCGGGACUGAGACACGGCCCAAACUCCUACGGGAGGCAGCAGUAGGGAAUCUUCGGCAAUGGACGAAAGUCUGACCGAGCAACGCCGCGUGAGUGAAGAAGGUUUUCGGAUCGUAAAACUCUGUUGGUAGAGAAGAACGUUGGUGAGAGUGGAAAGCUCAUCAGGUGACGGUAACUACCCAGAAAGGGACGGCUAACUACGUGCCAGCCGCCGCCGUAA
rnacentral:rRNA from 1 species